rnacentral:misc_RNA from 1 species
GAUGAAGAACGCAGCGAAUUGCGAUAUGUAAUGUGAAUUGCAGAAUUCAGUGAAUCAUCGAAUCUUUGAACGCACCUUGCACCCUCUGGUAUUCCGGAGGGUAUGCCUGUUUGAGUGUCAUUAACACCUCAACGCUGAAUGGGUUCUUGUAACUUGUUCGGUGCUUGGACUUUGAAGGUUGCCGGUGUCAAGGCCAGCUCCUUUUAAAUGCAUGAGCAAGGACUAUUCCGAAUCGGCUUCGGUUUGAUAAAUUGACUUAUCUAUAUGCUGUCGCUGAGGAACUAUGGUCAUGUUGCUUCUAAUGGUCUUCGGACUGUCUCCUUGUGAGGCAUUGUAAUUGACUCUUGACCUCAAAUCAGGCAAGACUACCCGCUGAACUUAAGCAUAUCAAUAAGCGGAGGA